CAGCCGCCACGGGAAUACCGAGGGUGCGAGCGUUAAUCGGAUUUACUGGGCGUAAAGCGUGCGUAGGCGGCUUCUUAAGUCGGAUGUGAAAUCCCCGGGCUCAACCUGGGAACUGCAUCCAAAACUGGCAAGCUAGAGUAUGGUAGAGGGUGGUGGAAUUUCCUGUGUAGCGGUGAAAUGCGUAGAUAUAGGAAGGAACACCAGUGGCGAAGGCGACCACCUGGACUGAUACUGACACUGAGGUGCGAAAGCGUGGGGAGCAAACAGGAUUAGAUACCCCGGUAGUCCCUGUCUCUUAUAU
rnacentral:rRNA from 1 species